UACGUAGGAGACGAGCGUUGUCCGGAAUUACUGGGCGUAAAGCGCGUGUAGGCGGAUGAGCAAGUUUGCUGUGAAAGCUCCUGGCUUAACCGGGAGUGGUCGGUGGAAACUGCUCGUCUGGAGGACGGUAGAGGUAGGUAGAAUUCCCGGUGUAGUGGUGAAAUGCGUAGAGAUCGGGAGGAAUACCUGUGGCGAAGGCGGCCUACUGGGCCGGACCUGACGCUGAGGUGCGAAAGCGUGGGGAGCAAACAGG
rnacentral:rRNA from 1 species